UUUCCCAGGAGCAUCGGUGGGAAGAAGCAAUCCCACGCUGAGAGCUUUGUUCUGACGAGUUCUGAUGGCAGCCAGUUGUGAUUUGAAAAUCUCUGUGCCCUCGGUGUUAAGUUGAAGAACAGAAAUCCGUGGGAACAAACGUGGCUUUUGGAGGAACCUCCACGUGUGAAGGCAGUGA